AUGGCAGCCGCUGGAGUUAGCAGGGAGCAGAGGUGGAGCCUCGCCGGCGCAACCGCGCUGGUCACCGGAGGCAGCAGAGGAAUUGGACAUGCAAUUGUGGAGGAGCUUGUCGGGCUCGGGGCGCGGGUGCACACGUGCUCCGAGAACGCGGUGGAGCUGGAGGGGUGCCGUCGGCGGUGGGAGGAGAUGAAGCUUCCGGUCACCGUCUCCGUCUGCGACGUCUCCGUGCGAGCCGAGAGGGAGAAGCUCAUGGAGUCGGCGAAGCAAACCUUCGACGGCAAGCUCGACAUACUAGUAAACAACGUGGGACGGAAUGUGGCCAAGGCGACCGUGGAGUGCACGGCGGAGGAGUACUCGCAUCUCAUGUCGACUAACUUAGAGUCGGCGUUCCACCUAAGCCAGCUCGCACACCCCUUUCUCCGAGACGCCUCCAUCGCCGGAGGAGGCAGCGUCGUUAACAUCUCCUCAGUUGCAAGCUCACUUGGCUACUCCACCCUCGCACUGUACUGCAUAUCUAAAGGAGGAGUUAACCAGCUUACAAGGAGCCUUGCUGCCGAGUGGGCUCAAGAUAAGAUCCGUGUCAACUCCGUCGCUCCGGGUGGGAUCAAUACCGAGCUGCAAAACAGUGUGGAUCCAAAGGUCAUAGAAAAUACGUUGUUGAGAACUCCGAUGCAUCGGCUCGGUGAGCCAGUGGAGGUGGCGUCGAUGGUGUCGUUCCUUUGCAUGCCAGCAGCUUCGUUCGUCACCGGCCAGGUUAUGUACGUCGAUGGAGGCCGAACCAUUAGUGGCUAA
rnacentral:rRNA from 1 species